UGGGGAAUAUUGGGCAAUGGGCGCAAGCCUGACCCAGCAACGCCGCGUGAGGGAAGAAGGCUUUCGGGUUGUAAACCUCUGUCCUUGGUGACGAAAAAAAUGACGGUAGCCAAGGAGGAAGCCCCGGCUAACUACGUGCCAGCAGCCGCGGUACUACGUAGGGGGCGAGCGUUGUCCGGAAUUACUGGGCGUAACGGGUGCGUAGGUGGCCUUUUAAGUUGGAUGUGAAAUACCCGGGCGUACCUUGGGGGGUGCAUCUAAUACUGGAGGGCUAGAGUGCAGGAGAGGAAAGCGUAAUUCCUAGUGUAGCGGUGAAAUUCGUAGAUAUUAGGAGGAACACCAGUGGCGAAGGCGGCUUGCUGGACUGUAACUGACACUGAGGCACGAAAGCGUGGGGAGCAAACA
rnacentral:rRNA from 1 species